rnacentral:rRNA from 1 species
GACGAACGCUGGCGGCGUGCUUAACACAUGCAAGUCGAACGGAAAGGCCCUGCUUUUGUGGGGUGCUCGAGUGGCGAACGGGUGAGUAACACGUGAGUAACCUGCCCUUGACUUUGGGAUAACUUCAGGUAACUGGGGCUAAUACCGGAUAGGAGCUCCUGCUGCAUGGUGGGGGUUGGAAAGUUUCGGCGGUUGGGUCUGGACUCGCGGCUUAUCAGCUUGUUGGUGGGGUAGUGGCUUACAAAGGCUUUGACGGGUAGCCGGCCUGAGAGGGUGACCGGCCACAUUGGGACUGAGAUAGGGCCCAGAAUGAUACGGGAGGCAGCAGGGGAGAAUAUUGCACAAAGGGCGGAAGCCGGAUGCAGCAACGCCGCGUGCGGGAUGACGGCCUUCGGGUUGUAAACCGCUUUCGCCGGUGACGAAGAGGGAGUGACGGUAAUGGGUAAAGAAGCACCGGCUAACUACGUG